GACGGAGGAUGCAAGUGUUAUCCGGAAUCACUGGGCGUAAAGCGUCUGUAGGUGGUUUAAUAAGUCAACUGUUAAAUCUUGAGGCUCAACCUCAAAAGCGCAGUCGAAACUAUUAGGCUAGAGUAUAGUAGGGGUAAAGGGAAUUUCCAGUGGAGCGGUGAAAUGCGUAGAGAUUGGAAAGAACACCGAUGGCGAAGGCACUUUACUGGGCUAUUACUAACACUCAGAGACGAAAGCUAGGGUAGCAAAUGGG
rnacentral:rRNA from 1 species